CCCGACUGCUCGAGCGGCUGGAACUCCUCUUCUUCUCCCUUCAUUCUCUCUGAACUCAGAUAGCAAUGGCAGCUCGGUUGGAGGUAACUCCUUUUCUGCUCUCUUCUUCACUGUGAACUCCGAUAUCGAUAUUCUGACCGCCAGGAGGUAACUGCUCAUCUUCUCUCUUCUUCUCUCUGAACUCCGAUAGGGAUCUUGUGAACGGCUGGAGGUUAACUCCUCUUCUUCUCCCUUCUUCUCUCUGAACUUUCAUUUUCGAAAAAUCAAUCGUACUGCAAAUUUCACAUUUCUGUUUCCCUUACUCAUCUCCUGCUCUCUUUUCUCUCAAAUUGUCUGCAAACAUUUUAGUUGCGAGAUUUUGGUAGCAGGCGCAAGAACAGUAAAGCUGAAGGAGUGGAAGCUGCACAAGUUUGUAUGAUUGCUUGUGGACUUUAUGAGCAGAUCAAAUUUUCAUCUUGAAUCUCAAAGACUCAUUACAGAGAAAAGGACUUUCAAGAGAUCUUUCUACUUACAUUAGUCCAUAGCAAGAAAAAGUAGCAAGGUAAGACAGACCUCCUCUUGUUCUUCAUAUUGCUUUUUUUUUGACAGAGUGAGGGAUCCAGCUUUCACCUUUAGGGAGAAAGAUAUUUUUAAGUUCCUACUUA